AAAUCAGCAAUGACAGUCUUUUCUGUUAGUUCCCACCUUCAUUUCUCUUUACUUUUCCCCUUGCUCUUCAAUGAGGUGUAGUCCUGUUUAUGUAAAAUGAGUGCAUACCUGACCUUUACUGUGUAUGCCACCUUCCCUUCCAACCUAGGCAGUGGUCGAUUUUUUGACGUAGAGCUCUGUUUGUAGUUGACUGACAAUUCCAAUUCGCUGGUGCUGAAGUAAUAGCAUCUUGCUUUCUUCAUGUGCCCCGUCAGCAUGAAUGAGUGCUUGUGUGUCUGUGCACGUGUGCAUGGUGAGCAAUUAAAAACAAAAUGAAACACAAAUGCAGAGUUAUUUUCUUAAUGUAGUAAGUGUCCUUCUACAAAGGCAUCUACCUGAGCACCCCAGGCACAUUCCUCUUGGUGCAGCAGAAAGCCCAGGUGCUUCUCUCUGACCGCCCGCAUUCCGCACUGUGAUAACUCAAGUCUAAAUCUGUCAUGUGGAUGGCUGUAUGAUUUCUGUCCUAUUAGCGAAUGUCAAUGGAGAGCUGUUAAACUGUGUCCUUUUGUGUGUGUGCAUAGAUUGGCAGAUCUGUAGGACAACUCUGGCAUGGUACAAAAAAACCCCAACAUUACUGGAUGUGGUCUUCAGACAUCAAUUUUGUAGUGCAGAAUUGUGUUUUCUGAUGCUUUGUUCUUAGUGUUAUACAUUUGCCUUUAAAAAUGGCCUUAAAAAAAGGAGGAUGGAGAGUCGGGGGGACCCAUGGAGGACCUGGUGUACCACUGCCAGCAGCACCAUGGCCUCUGCAAGGACUGUGCCAUGGUAUGAGCACAUCGAAGCUCCAGUGAGGUUUUGCUGGGCCUUCUGAAGGGCAGAUUACCUGAUGUUACCCUUUGGAGAGAAACAGUGGCCAAACUCAUUGCCUGGGGCCAUGAGAAACAAUACCCUGUGACUCUGAGUCAUUCUGCCUGUGACACCCUGAAAGAGUUUCAGCUGAUCAUUUCCUUUUCCUCUGUACAUGUGGAUACUGUAUGAGUUUGUACAAACACCUAAACAAAACUAUCUUAGAUAAAAAGAACAGUGAUACUAGUGCAGAAGCAUCUCCCAGAUUCCUUGGUAAACUGUGUUGUAGCCUCUCUGGCCACAGAAAUCUCCAUGCUUUUGCCAAAAGCCUAUUUCAUUCUGUGUAUGUGUGCUCGAUGGCCUCUCCAUUUUUGUACAAGUGCUGUCACCUGGGUGCAUUCCCACCUGAUUGUUCACCUGUAACCAUGUCCAUUGGGUGUAAAGAAGUUGCUGCCUUUUCCUUUUAAACUGUCGACUUGGUUCUACAAGAGAACAGAUUACCUGCCUUUGUAGCCUAAACAUGUAUGUAUGUAGCUAAGUAUGUUAUGCUUUUUCUUUCAAAUAAAUAUUUUCUG
ensembl:lncRNA